GAACUCUGGAGAAUCCCGCUACAUGCGGGUGCCGAAGGUGCAAGGUCUUUGGACCGAAUCUCUCAGGCAAAAGGACAGAGAAAGG
rnacentral:ncRNA from 1 species